CCGCGCUAGGUGGGGAGCUAGCGGUGCCCUGGAACCGCAAUCCGCUACAGCGGGCUGAAUACCUGCCUGAGGGUUGCCACCGUCGUGUCUGCCGCCGUUGAUCGGUGCUGACGGCUGGGCCUCGUGCGACGAAGACCUCCUAACCCCGUCAGGUCCGAGAGGAAGCAGCGGUACGGAGCCAUCUUUGGGUGCCGCGGGAUCACCUGGCUCGAGCCGGCGGCGUCGGUAAGGCGGCGGCCGGUGCUCAACGGCAGGGCGCGG
rnacentral:SRP_RNA from 1 species